GCGCGCGUAGCUUAGUGGUUAGAGCAGGGCUCUUAUAAGGCCAAGGCCGCAGGUUCGAAUCCUGCCGCGCGCA
rnacentral:tRNA from 1 species